AGUUAUCGUUUAUUUGAUAGUACCUUACUACUUGGAUACCUGUGGUAAUUCUAGAGCUAAUACAUGCUAAAAACCCCGACUUCGGAAGGGGUGUAUUUAUUAGAUAAAAAACCAAUGCCCUUCGGGGCUCCUUGGUGAUUCAUAAUAACUUCUCAGAUCGCAUGGCCUUGCGCCGGCGACGGUUCAUUCAAAUUUCUGCCCUAUCAACUUUCGAUGGUAAGGUAUUGGCUUACCAUGGUGGCAACGGGUAACGGGGAAUUAGGGUUCGAUUCCGGAGAGUUAGCCUGAGAAACGGCUAACACAUCCAAGGAAGGCAGCAGGCGCGCAAAUUACCCAAUCCCGAUACGGGGAGGUAGUGACAAUAAAUACUGAUACAGGGCUCUUUUGGGUCUUGUAAUUGGAAUGAGUACAAUUUAAACCUCUUAACGAGGAACAAUUGGAGGGCAAGUCUGGUGCCAGCAGCCGCGGUAAUUCCAGCUCCAAUAGCGUAUAUUAAAGUUGUUGCAGUUAAAAAGCUCGUAGUUGAACCUUUGGCCUGGCUGGCAGGUCCGCCUCACCGCGUGCACUUGUCCGGCCGGGCCUUUUCUUCUGGAGAACCACAUGCCCUUCACUGGGUGUGUUGGGGACCAGGACUUUUACUUUGAAAAAAUUAGAGUGUUCAAAGCAGGCCUUUGCUCGAAUAUUACAGCAUGGAAUAAUAGAAUAGGACGUGCGGUUCUAUUUUGUUGGUUUCUAGGACCGCCGUAAUGAUUAAUAGGGACAGUCGGGGGCAUCAGUAUUCAAUUGUCAGAGGUGAAAUUCUUGGAUUUAUUGAAGACUAACUACUGCGAAAGCAUUUGCCAAGGAUGUUUUCAUUAAUCAGUGAACGAAAGUUAGGGGAUCGAAGACGAUCAGAUACCGUCGUAGUCUUAACCAUAAACUAUGCCGACUAGGGAUCGGGCGGUGUUACUAUUUUGACUCGCUCGGCACCUUACGAGAAAUCAA
rnacentral:rRNA from 1 species